rnacentral:rRNA from 1 species
GCGGAGGAUCAUUACCUAGAGUUGUAGGCUUUGCCUGCUAUCUCUUACCCAUGUCUUUUGAGUACCUUACGUUUCCUCGGCGGGUCCGCCCGCCGAUUGGACACUUUAAACCAUUUGCAGUUGCAAUCAGCGUCUGAAAAAACUUAAUAGUUACAACUUUCAACAACGGAUCUCUUGGUUCUGGCAUCGAUGAAGAACGCAGCGAAAUGCGAUAAGUAGUGUGAAUUGCAGAAUUCAGUGAAUCAUCGAAUCUUUGAACGCACAUUGCGCCCCUUGGUAUUCCAUGGGGCAUGCCUGUUCGAGCGUCAUUUGUACCUUCAAGCUUUGCUUGGUGUUGGGUGUUUGUCUCGCCUCUGCGUGUAGACUCGCCUCAAAACAAUUGGCAGCCGGCGUAUUGAUUUCGGAGCGCAGUACAUCUCGCGCUUUGCACUCAUAACGACGACGUCCAAAAGUACAUUUUUACACUCUUGACCUCGGAUCAGGUAGGGAUACCCGCUGAACUUAAGCAUAUCAAUAAGCGGAGGAA